CGCGGCCUAUCAGCUUGUUGGCGGGGUAAUGGCCCACUAAGGCGACGACGGGUAGCCGGCCUGAGAGGGUGACCGGCCACACUGGGACUGAGACACGGCCCAGACUCCUACGGGAGGCAGCAGUGGGGAAUAUUGCACAAUGGGCGCAAGCCUGAUGCAGCGACGCCGCGUGAGGGAUGAAGGCCUUCGGGUUGUAAACCUCUUUCAGUAGGGAAGAAGCGAAAGUGACGGUACCUGCAGAAGAAGCGCCGGCUAACUACGUGCCAGCAGCCGCGGUAAUACGUAGGGCGCAAGCGUUAUCCGGAAUUAUUGGGCGUAAAGAGCUCGUAGGCGGUUUGUCGCGUCUGCCGUGAAAGUCCGGGGCUUAACUCCGGAUCUGCGGUGGGUACGGGCAGACUAGAGUGCAGUAGGGGAGACUGGAAUUCCUGGUGUAGCGGUGAAAUGCGCAGAUAUCAGGGGGAACACCGAUGGCGAAGGCAGGUCUCUGGGCCGCAACUGACGCUGAGGAGCGAAAGCAUGGGGAGCGAACAGGAUUAGAUACCCUGGUAGUCCAUGCCGUAAACGUUGGGCACUAAGUGUGGGGCUCAUUCCACGAGUUCCGUGCCGCAGCUAACGCAUUAAGUGCCCCGCCUGGGGAGUACGG
rnacentral:rRNA from 1 species